AGAGGCUCAGGUCCUCGAAAAAGAUGCUCUGGUAGCCAGGCAGAGCAUCUCUAUGGUUGCCCCUUGCCCCAGUGCUGCAUCAAGCUGCCUCCACAUGUGGGACAAGGAAUGGUGCAGGCUGCAGCAACCUGGUCCUGGGUUCCAUCCCCAGGGUCUGCCCUGCUGUCCCUGGAUCAUGCGGGUGGCCCUCCUCUGGACCCUUUCAAUGCUGUCCACAUCCCUCCUGAAGUGCAGUGCCCAGAACUGAACACAGUACUCCAGCUGUGGCCUGACCAGUGUCGCAUAGAGGGGGAGGAUCACCUCCUUGGCCCUGCUUGAGAUGUAUCUGUGGAUGCAUGACAAGUGCAUGUCGAGGAAGUGGGGAGGUACCAGUCUUUCUACAAAACUGCGACAGAAGUUUGACAGGACAAACUUGCAAACCAAGGAUCAAUGAAACACUCUUUAACAUAACAGCUGAACAUUUGUAUAUGUACAUAACAUUUUGGUACAUUUAUUAAUCAAGAAAUUCUGGAAAACCUAAAGAAAUUCUGGAAAACCUGUAGAAUUUUAUAUCUGUUCCAUGUACUUCUAGGUUGAUCAAAGAGAAUUAGCAUCUUGUCACAUGGGAUGCUAAAUCCAUAUUUAAUAUGUGAGUUAUUAAAGUUAGAACAUGUUCUGUGCA